UACGGAGGGUGCAAGCGUUGUCCGGAUUCAUUGGGUUUAAAGGGUGCGCAGGCGGGCCAUUAAGUCAGGGGUGAAAGACGGUUGCUCAACAAUCGCAGUGCCUUUGAUACUGGUGGUCUUGGGUGACCUUGAGGUAGGCGGAAUGGGUGGUGUAGCGGUGAAAUGCAUAGAUACCACCCAGAACACCGAUUGCGAAGGCAGCCUACUGGAGGUUUACCGACGCUCAGGCACGAAAGCGUGGGGAUCAAACAGG
rnacentral:rRNA from 1 species